rnacentral:rRNA from 1 species
CGGUAAUACCAGCUCGCCGAGUAGUGUGGACGUUUAUUGGGCCUAAAGCAUCCGUAGCUUGCUAGAUAAGUCCUCUGUUAAAUCCACCGAUUCAAUCGUUGGAUUGCGGGGGAUACUGUUUGGCUAGGGGACGGGAGAGGUCGACGGUAUUUCCGGGGUAGGGGUGAAAUCCUAUAAUCCCGGGAGGACCACCAGUGGCGAAGGCUGUCGGCUAGAACGCG